UACAGAGGUCCCAAGCGUUGUUCGGAUUCACUGGGCGUAAAGGGUGCGCAGGCGGCCGUGUGUGUGAGGCGUGAAAGCCCGGGGCUUAACCCCGGAAUUGCACCUCAAACUACAUGGCUAGAGCAUUGGAGAGGGUAGCGGAAUUCACGGUGUAGCAGUGAAUGCGUAGAUAUCGUGAGGAACACCAGAGGCGAAGGCGGCUACCUGGACAAUUGCUGACGCUCAGGCACGAAAGCGUGGGGAGCAAAAGGG
rnacentral:rRNA from 1 species